UUAAGCGACUAAGCGUACACGGUGGAUGCCCUGGCAGUCAGAGGCGAUGAAGGACGUGCUAAUCUGCGAUAAGCGUCGGUAAGGUGAUAUGAACCGUUAUAACCGGCGAUUUCCGAAUGGGGAAACCCAGUGUGUUUCGACACACUAUCAUUAACUGAAUCCAUAGGUUAAUGAGGCGAACCGGGGGAACUGAAACAUCUAAGUACCCCGAGGAAAAGAAAUCAACCGAGAUUCCCCCAGUAGCGGCGAGCGAACGGGGAGCAGCCCAGAGCCUGAAUCAGUGUGUGUGUUAGUGGAAGCGUCUGGAAAGGCGCGCGAUACAGGGUGACAGCCCCGUACACAAAAAUGCACAUACUGUGAGCUCGAUGAGUAGGGCGGGACACGUGGUAUCCUGUCUGAAUAUGGGGGGACCAUCCUCCAAGGCUAAAUACUCCUGACUGACCGAUAGUGAACCAGUACCGUGAGGGAAAGGCGAAAAGAACCCCGGCGAGGGGAGUGAAAAAGAACCUGAAACCGUGUACGUACAAGCAGUGGGAGCCUCUUAAUGGGGUGACUGCGUACCUUUUGUAUAAUGGGUCAGCGACUUAUAUUCUGUAGCAAGGUUAACCGAAUAGGGGAGCCGAAGGGAAACCGAGUCUUAACUGGGCGUUAAGUUGCAGGGUAUAGACCCGAAACCCGGUGAUCUAGCCAUGGGCAGGUUGAAGGUUGGGUAACACUAACUGGAGGACCGAACCGACUAAUGUUGAAAAAUUAGCGGAUGACUUGUGGCUGGGGGUGAAAGGCCAAUCAAACCGGGAGAUAGCUGGUUCUCCCCGAAAGCUAUUUAGGUAGCGCCUCGUGAAUUCAUCUCCGGGGGUAGAGCACUGUUUCGGCAAGGGGGUCAUCCCGACUUACCAACCCGAUGCAAACUGCGAAUACCGGAGAAUGUUAUCACGGGAGACACACGGCGGGUGCUAACGUCCGUCGUGAAGAGGGAAACAACCCAGACCGCCAGCUAAGGUCCCAAAGUCAUGGUUAAGUGGGAAACGAUGUGGGAAGGCCCAGACAGCCAGGAUGUUGGCUUAGAAGCAGCCAUCAUUUAAAGAAAGCGUAAUAGCUCACUGGUCGAGUCGGCCUGCGCGGAAGAUGUAACGGGGCUAAACCAUGCACCGAAGCUGCGGCAGCGACACUAUGUGUUGUUGGGUAGGGGAGCGUUCUGUAAGCCUGUGAAGGUGUACUGUGAGGUAUGCUGGAGGUAUCAGAAGUGCGAAUGCUGACAUAAGUAACGAUAAAGCGGGUGAAAAGCCCGCUCGCCGGAAGACCAAGGGUUCCUGUCCAACGUUAAUCGGGGCAGGGUGAGUCGACCCCUAAGGCGAGGCCGAAAGGCGUAGUCGAUGGGAAACAGGUUAAUAUUCCUGUACUUGGUGUUACUGCGAAGGGGGGACGGAGAAGGCUAUGUUGGCCGGGCGACGGUUGUCCCGGUUUAAGCGUGUAGGCUGGUUUUCCAGGCAAAUCCGGAAAAUCAAGGCUGAGGCGUGAUGACGAGGCACUACGGUGCUGAAGCAACAAAUGCCCUGCUUCCAGGAAAAGCCUCUAAGCAUCAGGUAACAUCAAAUCGUACCCCAAACCGACACAGGUGGUCAGGUAGAGAAUACCAAGGCGCUUGAGAGAACUCGGGUGAAGGAACUAGGCAAAAUGGUGCCGUAACUUCGGGAGAAGGCACGCUGAUAUGUAGGUGAAGUCCCUUGCGGAUGGAGCUGAAAUCAGUCGAAGAUACCAGCUGGCUGCAACUGUUUAUUAAAAACACAGCACUGUGCAAACACGAAAGUGGACGUAUACGGUGUGACGCCUGCCCGGUGCCGGAAGGUUAAUUGAUGGGGUUAGCGGUAACGCGAAGCUCUUGAUCGAAGCCCCGGUAAACGGCGGCCGUAACUAUAACGGUCCUAAGGUAGCGAAAUUCCUUGUCGGGUAAGUUCCGACCUGCACGAAUGGCGUAAUGAUGGCCAGGCUGUCUCCACCCGAGACUCAGUGAAAUUGAACUCGCUGUGAAGAUGCAGUGUACCCGCGGCAAGACGGAAAGACCCCGUGAACCUUUACUAUAGCUUGACACUGAACAUUGAGCCUUGAUGUGUAGGAUAGGUGGGAGGCUUUGAAGUGUGGACGCCAGUCUGCAUGGAGCCGGCCUUGAAAUACCACCCUUUAAUGUUUGAUGUUCUAACGUUGGCCCCUUACCGGGGUUGCGGACAGUGUCUGGUGGGUAGUUUGACUGGGGCGGUCUCCUCCUAAAGAGUAACGGAGGAGCACGAAGGUUGGCUAAUCCUGGUCGGACAUCAGGAGGUUAGUGCAAUGGCAUAAGCCAGCUUGACUGCGAGCGUGACGGCGCGAGCAGGUGCGAAAGCAGGUCAUAGUGAUCCGGUGGUUCUGAAUGGAAGGGCCAUCGCUCAACGGAUAAAAGGUACUCCGGGGAUAACAGGCUGAUACCGCCCAAGAGUUCAUAUCGACGGCGGUGUUUGGCACCUCGAUGUCGGCUCAUCACAUCCUGGGGCUGAAGUAGGUCCCAAGGGUAUGGCUGUUCGCCAUUUAAAGUGGUACGCGAGCUGGGUUUAGAACGUCGUGAGACAGUUCGGUCCCUAUCUGCCGUGGGCGCUGGAGAACUGAGGGGGGCUGCUCCUAGUACGAGAGGACCGGAGUGGACGCAUCACUGGUGUUCGGGUUGUCAUGCCAAUGGCACUGCCCGGUAGCUAAAUGCGGAAGAGAUAAGUGCUGAAAGCAUCUAAGCACGAAACUUGCCCCGAGAUGAGUUCUCCCUGACUCUUUAAGGGUCCUGAAGGAACGUUGAAGACGACGACGUUGAUAGGCCGGGUGUGUAAGCGCAGCGAUGCGUUGAGCUAACCGGUACUAAUGAACCGUGAGGCUUAACCU
rnacentral:rRNA from 1 species